rnacentral:rRNA from 1 species
AGAACGAACGUUAGCGGUGUGGAUUAGGCAUGCAAGUCGUGCGCGAAAGCCGCAAGGCGAGUAGAGCGGCGAAAGGGUGAGUAACACGUAACCAACCUACCCCUCAGACCGGAAUAACCACUGGAAACGGUGGAUAAUGCCGGAUGUUCCUAACUAGAGGCAUCUCUGGUUCGGCAAAUGGUGGCGCAAGCUGCCGCUUAGGGAGGGGGUUGCGGGCUAUCAGCUAGUUGGCGAGGUAACGGCUCACCAAGGCGAUGACGGCUACCGGGUCUGAGAGGACGGUCCGGCACACUGGGACUGAGACACUGCCCAGACUCCGUACGGGAGGCCUGCCAGUCGAGAAUCUUCCGCAAUGGGCAAAGCCUGGACGGAGCGACACCGCGUGCAGGAUGAGGCCUUCGGUUGUAACGUGACGUGUCACGUCUUUAGGAAC